ACCCUUGUAGCCAGUUCUGUUUAAACUGACAUCUGCUGAAGAGGUUGAGGCCAGACAGCUGCCCAGGUUCCUGUUUCUCCGAGAGGAGAAGUAAUCUGCCCAUUUAAAAAUGCCAAUAAAAAUAAAACUUAAAAGGUAACACUUCUUUCCUCUACCUGUACGGAUGCCAACAACUUCUCACCUCCCAGCCCUCUGCCAGCUGGGCCUGCGCCAUCACCACGGCUCACCCGGACUGUUACAACAGCACCUGCGACUGACUCCCCACACAACAAACAGCCCGAGACAUCCUUUGAGAAGAUGAUGAAAUCACCAGAGCCCAGACUACUUAAGGAGCCCACCAGUUGCCAGCAAGCGAUGGAACCAUGUGACCCAAGCGCACUUCAUCCUGCUUGCAAACCAGGCGACCUGCCAGACUCUGCUCUCACAGUUAGUGGAGAGAGGCCCCGUUUGUGCCUGCAGGAGACACACGGAUCCUGAGGAGCUCUAGGCAGGUAAGAAACAUAUUAAGAAAGAGAGAUGGUUAGAGUGAAACCCUGCCUUUCCCAGCAGGCAGGGUGAGAGCAGAAAAGGGUGGUUACCUGGACCAUCCCUGCCAUGGAGUGAAGCCUCGUGGUGGCUACCGGACCUCCAUGAGCUCACAUGGCUGCGAAGCUGGCAUCCUGUAAGUGCAUACGAUGAUGGGUAAGCCAGUCGACCCUGCAGGGGUUCUCUGGUGGACAUGGCCCCUGGCACACAUCAGCACAGCUUCUUGGGUUGUAGGACAUUUCCGAGACUGGAGCAAGUAUGCCAUUGCUUUCCCUAAAGCCUUUGCCUUCUCCUUUCCCUUUGUUGCAUUCAUCCCAGUUGGGGGAUGGUGGGACAGGCUGAGUUUUUAGAAACCAUUCCCUGGCUGUUUUUGCUCCCUGGGCCACCAUGUCUACAAAAUCUGAGUACAAUCCUGGAGUCCAGAUUGAACACAACCCUGCAACAGUCUAUAAGCUCCUUUCAGCUCCAUAUUCCUAGUGGGCAUGUCAUGGAUGCAUAAUCAGUAACUACUGAAAUAGUAUGGAGUUAGUGAGUGAGGCUCAAAAGGUGUAUGUUAGGUUUGAUUGAAUGGAGUUAUGCUUACAAACAAGAAGACCCGACUCAGAAUUCUUUUGCUAUGAGGGGGUUGUAAUGGUCUUCUGCCACUCCUCUGAAGUCCUGAGUGAUGCUAUUGUUACAGGGUGCAGCCAA